GUCGCGCUACCAUGCAGUCGGAGGUAGCACAGAGGAGCUUGCUCCUCGGGUGACGAGUGGCGGACGGGUGAGUAAUGUCUGGGGAUCUGCCCGAUAGAGGGGGAUAACCACUGGAAACGGUGGCUAAUACCGCAUAAUGUCGCAAGACCAAAGAGGGGGACCUUCGGGCCUCUCACUAUCGGAUGAACCCAGAUGGGAUUAGCUAGUAGGCGGGGUAACGGCCCACCUAGGCGACGAUCCCUAGCUGGUCUGAGAGGAUGACCAGCCACACUGGAACUGAGACACGGUCCAGACUCCUACGGGAGGCAGCAGUGGGGAAUAUUGCACAAUGGGCGCAAGCCUGAUGCAGCCAUGCCGCGUGUAUGAAGAAGGCCUUCGGGUUGUAAAGUACUUUCAGCGGGGAGGAAGGCAGUGAGGUUAAUAACCUUACUGAUUGACGUUACCCGCAAAAGAAGCACCGGCUAACUCCGUGCCAGCAGCCGCGGUAAUACGGAGGGUGCAAGCGUUAAUCGGAAUUACUGGGCGUAAAGCGCACGCAGGCGGUCUGUUAAGUCAGAUGUGAAAUCCCCGGGCUUAACCUGGGAACUGCAUUUGAAACUGGCAGGCUUGAGUCUCGUAGAGGGGGGUAGAAUUCCAGGUGUAGCGGUGAAAUGCGUAGAGAUCUGGAGGAAUACCGGUGGCGAACGCGGCCCCCUGGACGAAGACUGACGCUCAUGUGCGAAAGCGUGGAGAGCAAACAAGAUUAGAUACCCUGGUAGUCCACGCCGUACACGAUGUCCACUUGGAGGUUGUUCCCUUGAAGAGUGGCUUCCAGAGCUAACGCGUUAAGUCCACCGCCUGGAGAGUACGGCCGCAGGAUAAAACUCAUAUGAAUUGACGGGGCCCGCACAGCGGUGGAGCAUGUGGUUUAUUCGAUGCACGCGAAGACCUUACCUACUCGUGACAUCCACGGAAUUCGGCAGAGAUGC
rnacentral:rRNA from 1 species